ACGCUCGACACCUACUGGAGGCAGCAGUGGGGGAAUAUUGGGCAAUGGGCGCAAGCCUGACCCAGCAACGCCGCGUGAAGGAAGAAGGCUUUCGGGUUGUAAACUUCUUUUGUCAGGGACGAAUAAAUGACGGUACCUGACGAAUAAGCCACGGCUAACUACGUGCCAGCAGCCGCGGUAAUCUGAGCGGGCUGGCAAGGC
rnacentral:rRNA from 1 species